UACGAGUGCUCCAAGCGUUAUCCGGAAUCAUUGGGCGUAAAGGGUGUGUAGGCGGUUGUGUUAGUCUUUUGUUAAAUUCUUCGGCUUAACCGGGGGCAUGCAAAGGAAACGGCACAACUAGAGGAUGCGAGAGGUGAAUGGAACUCAUGGAGUAGGGGUGAAAUCCGUUGAUAUCAUGGGGAACACCAAAUGCGAAGGCAAUUCACUGGCGCACUCCUGACGCUG
rnacentral:rRNA from 1 species